rnacentral:rRNA from 1 species
GAUGAACGCUGGCGGCGUGCUUAACACAUGCAAGUCGAACGAAGCACUUUAUUACGAUCCCUUCGGGGUGACGAUUUAGUGACUUAGUGGCGGACGGGUGAGUAACGCGUGGGUAACCUGCCUUAUACAGGGGGAUAACGUUUGGAAACGAACGCUAAUACCGCAUAAGCGCACAGAGUCGCAUGACUCAGUGUGAAAAGAUUUAUCGGCAUACGAUGGCCCCGCGUCUGAUUAGCUAGUUGGUGAGGUAACGGCUCACCAAGGCGACGAUCAGUAGCCGACCUGAGAGGGUGACCGGUCACAUUGGGACUGAGACACGGCCCAAACUCC